GGCAUAUGAAGUUCCCAGGCUAGGGGCGUCGAAUCAGAGUUACGGCCGCUGGCCUACAGGACAGUCAGCAACAAUGCAGGAUCCAAACUGAGUGUGCGACCUACACCACAGCUCAUGGCAAUGCCGGAUCCCUAACCCACUGAGCAAGGCCAGGGAUCGAACCCGCAUCCCUAUGGAUCCUAGUCAGGUUCGUUAACCACUGAGCCAUGAAGGGAACUCCCUGGUAUCUCCUCUUUAGCAAAUACUUCCAUCAUGAUUUUUGUUGCUUCUAGUUUUAUUCAUCCUUCAAGAUCCAGCUUAAACGGCACCUCCUUCCAGAAGCUUCCUAUAUCCUAUAAAUUUCUCUAGACUCUCAGAGCACUUUAUUCACAUAUGACCUACAGCUCUGAUCACAUUCUGCUUUGAAUGGAAGCUAAUUAUGCAAAAAUCAAUCUCUACCAGUAGACUGGAAGCCGCGGACCACCACCCGUGACGUCGCUGAAGCAGUUUGCAGCAUUUAUUUGCUCAUCUGUCUUUUCUAGUCAUUAAACCAUCAAUUUCUUGAGGUCAUGAUCCAUGCUUACCUUUGAAAAUACUUUAACUACAAGUUAAAGGCAUAUUUAAACUAUAAAUAUAGUCUUACUAUAAAUGGUUCCACUGUCCCACCACGCGCUGGUCAGAACUACCCGGACCUUCCAGUAGUGGCAGAACAGCGCAGCAUCCUCGGGCUCCUUCCCCUCUCACUCCCUCUCCAUCGUGCAGAGAUAGUCGCUCUCUUCGUUUUGUGUGUCUUAGCGCCUUGUUUUUAUGAUAGUCUUAUUCCAUGGGCAUGUAUCCAUAAACAACCUAUUGUUUCUUUUUGUAUGGUUUUGGUGUCUUAUAAAUGGAACCAUACUGCAUUUACUGUGCUGCAACUCGUAUGUGUUUGUUUUGGGUUUGGGGCUCAACAGUAUGUGCCUAAGAUUCACAUACACUGAUGCGUGUAGCUAUAGCACACUCAUGUUCACUAAGAGAACCUCCUGCAGAGGAGCUUUGGGCGGCACAAAUGAAAAGAAUGUCCAUAGUAACAUCGUUUGUAAAUGCAAGAACUGUAAAUGACCAAACGUUCAUGCUCAAGAGGAGACAUAAAUAAACUAUGAUAUUUCCUACACUUUCACUUCCUAACAUGUCGGGCAUACAGUAAAGCAUCCAUAAGUAUUUAUCGAGUGGAUAAUGGGCUUAAGGAAAAGAAAAAAAACUGAUGCAUCACGGCCUCUGAGCUCAGCCCAUGCUCAGAUGCUCAGGAAACAACGGAGACAUUCACCCACAAAACCAUGUUAUUAGCCCCCAAGGCUGGCACUGGACAGAUACUCAGGCAAACUGACAAUUCAGAGGACCUGCACUGAGUGACUGAGAAAACAAAAUGGGAAUCUUGAUGUGGGAAUGCCUAGCAUAAGCUAGGCAGACAGCGUGUUAUCUUGGAUGCUGUUAUUUCGACCUGCUUACUUUCAAGUCCCAACGAACCAUUGUGGUUCACAAGUAUCCCUGUCUCUCCCUAUAGGCCCACCCGCACCAUCUCCUCGGCUGCUCCCUACUGGCUGUGUCUGCUCUGAUACACCUGGGAAGGAUUUCACGUCGGGGAUAAGAACUGACAUUCGAAUUUCCCUUCUCUGCCUCCCCAUCUCAAGCUCUGACGUCGUCCAAGGGUAAUUACAUUCUGUUGGGCAGCGAUUGGUCUCGCGCUCUGCCACCCUUUGAGCGCUGCAUACCCAUUUUAAGGCAAUUGAGCCAGCCUACUUAUUGCCUUUUUAAACAUAGUUGAAGUCAGCUCUUCAACAGCACCAACUCCCUAGAAAAAUGAUCACCAUUCCAGCAUGCUAUUCGUCUACUUCUCAUUUUACUGAAAUAGAAACGAAUCCUCAGGAUGACGCUGCCGGUAAAGAUGCAGGGGAAGACAAAUUACAUCAAACCAAAAGCGUGUGUGCUUCUCUGCAGCACGAGUCAAUUACUUUCCAAAGAACCGGUGUAGAAAAUCAUGAGAGGGAACACAAAGGUACAGAAAAGACGGUCAACUCCAACUUUUUCCAGGAAAGGGAGUAUGACUCACAGAAAUUCAUCUUACUUUGAGCUGAUUUCACCAUGGUCAUAACUUCCACCUGACUAUUCAGUCAAAAGAACGGGGGAUGGGGGUUGGAGAGGAAGGAAGAGAAAAAGCUAUGAUUCUGACAGGAGACAUACAGCAUCUUUCCUUCGCGGCCGUUUCAUCGUUAAAUCUUUCUCUGUUCCCUUUCCUAUUCCCCCGCUAGACUCACUUCCUCUCUCACAUUUCUCUCGCCCGCUCGCCUCUCUUGAUAAAGAUCCUUGAAUGGGAUUAAAGAGCACAGUCCUUACUUUUAAAGUUCAACUUUUCUCCAGGCAAACUUUUUUCUCGGCGGGGGGGCCGGGGUGUGUGUGUGUGUGUGUGUGUGUGUGUGUGUGCGGCAUCUGGAAGUUCCCAGGCUAGGGGAUGAAUGUGAACUGUAGCUGCCGGUCUACACCAAUAGCCACAGCAACUCAGGAUCCGAGCUGUGUCUGUGGGCUAUACCACAGCUCAUGGCAAUCCUUAACCCACAGAGCAAGGCCAGGGAUGGAACCCACAUCCUCAUGGAUGCUAGUCGGGUUCAUUACC
rnacentral:lncRNA from 1 species